AAUUUUGCACAAACGCUUGCGUUUGAACGUUGGCUUUGCCAACGGCUCGAAGAGCGAACGUAGUGAGUAAAUUUCUCGGC
rnacentral:ncRNA from 1 species